GAGGUCACGUGAGUCCUGAGGGUUCAGAGUGUUUAAUCUGCUGUAAUCAGACUCAAAUAUCAUGCCCAGAGGGAACCUGCUUUUCAUCAGGGAUUUGUCUUGAGUGUCCUGCAGGGCAAUUCCUUGCAUUUCAGCUGUCCUGGUAAUGUGUCUGCACCCAGAAAAUGCCCCACUGGCAUGUUUAACAUUUACUGUACAGUGGAAAAAAGCAGUAUCCAGGGGACUGUGCUGUCUGUCCUGCAGGUUUUUAUUGUUUGGAGGGCAUCUCUCGGAGGCCAAGCUCUCAGUUUCUGUGCCCACAAGGGUAUUACUGUGAGGAAGGCACAGGCGUGCCACACGGGUCACCUUGCCCUGCUGGAACCGCAGGAGGACAACUGGGUCAGACAAGUAGGGCAGCUUGCAAGAAGUGUGCAGAGGGUCGCUUCUGUCCCGCAGGUUAGGGCAUGAACCCAAAACACACAUAUCCAUGAUCGCAUUCAUACACACACAUGUGCAUAUUAUACAUUAUAUUUUGCUUUUUGUUGUCAUGACAUUAUCUGUGAAAGAUGAUUGUUUUUUCUUUCUACUUUUUGUAGAAACUUAAAUAGUUAAGUGUUAUGCUUAUGUCUUUAGCGAAGACUGCAAGCUGCAACUUUUAUUUUCCUAAACCCACAUGAUUCACUGCUGUUGAACCGUUUCCUGCCCUCAGCUGUUUCCUGAGUGUGAUGUGCCGUAAGAGUGUUUGAUGUGGGUCUGGAGUGCAGAGAAUAUAGAAAAGUUGUUUGCGACGUUUUACAUCAUGGCUUUGUGUUUAAGCUAAAACACAUCUUGAUUUCUGUUUAUUCAACUUACUGUAGUACGAACAGACCUAACAUGUAGAUAAAUGUUUGUAAUUUUAAGAUUUUAAUACUAAAACAACAGGCAAUCAUAUUAAAGAAAUGUUUGUAUGCAGUGUUUGUUUUUCUUUUAACACUUUUAACACAGUGUUAACAUUAAUAUACCAUUGCUGAGUAAAAUGUAUAAAUAAUAUUAUAAGAAUAAUAAUUUAUAAAAGUAAUUUUUCUCAUUUUAAAAUGUCAGAUUUUUUGUUUUAACAAAUUUCUACAUUUAUGAUUUAAUUUUUAUCUAAACAUUAUUUAUAAAUACCCUAUUAUUAUAAUUUUUUCUUUCAUGUGUGUGUAUGAAGUUAAAUCAACGUUUAGAAGUACACUAUCGUCAAUAGCUAAUAUUAGUUGGACUAAAAGCCAGAAAACUUGAAACCCUCUUUGAUUAGUAGGUUCUGCUGGUCCUGGGUUGCUUUGUGCCCAUGGGAGGAACUGUCCAGCAGGCACACUCAGUGAAAUCUUAUGCCCACAAGGGACCUUCACCCCACAUCAGGGGGCACUGAGUAAGAUUUCAUUCCUAAAACCAUCAUGGUCAUUAAAGGACAUUCAUAUAAAUCUACCAUUGUGUUGAUAUUUGUGUCUAU
ensembl:lncRNA